rnacentral:rRNA from 1 species
GGGGAAUUUUAGACAAUGGGCGCAAGCCUGAUCCAGCAAUGCCGCGUGCAGGAUGAAGGCCUGCGGGUUGUAAACUUCUUUUAUACGGGAAUAAAGUGCCCCACGUGUAGGCCAUUGCAAGUACUGUAUGAAUAAGCAUCGGCUAACUCCGUGCCAGCAGCCGCGGUAAUACGGAGGAUGCGAGCGUUAUCCGGAUUUAUUGGGUUUAAAGGGUGCGCAGGCGGGCUUUUAAGUCAGCGGUGAAAUCUGGACGCUUAACGUCCAAACUGCCGUUGAAACUGGGAGUCUUGAGUAUGGAUGAAGUAGGCGGAAUUCGUUGUGUAGCGGUGACAUGCAUAGAUAUAACGAGGAACUCCGAUUGCGUAGGCAGCUUACUAAGCCAUAACUGACGCUCAUGCACGAAAGCGUGGGGAUCAAACA